rnacentral:rRNA from 1 species
GACUCCUACGGGAGGCAGCAGUGGGGAAUAUUGCACAAUGGGCGCAAGCCUGAUGCAGCGACGCCGCGUGAGGGAUGACGGCCUUCGGGUUGUAAACCUCUUUCAGUAGGGAAGAAGCGAAAGUGACGGUACCUGCAGAAGAAGCGCCGGGCUAACUACGUGCCAGCAGCCGCGGUAAUACGUAGGGCGCAAGCGUUAUCCGGAAUUAUUGGGCGUAAAGAGCUCGUAGGCGGUUUGUCGCGUCUGCCGUGAAAGUCCGGGGCUCAACUCCGGAUCUGCGGUGGGUACGGGCAGACUAGAGUGAUGUAGGGGAGACUGGAAUUCCUGGUGUAGCGGUGAAAUGCGCAGAUAUCAGGAGGAACACCGAUGGCGAAGGCAGGUCUCUGGGCAUUAACUGACGCUGAGGAGCGAAAGCAUGGGGAGCGAACAGGAUUAGAUACCCUGGUAGUCCAUGCCGUAAACGUUGGGCACUAGGUGUGGGGGACAUUCCACGUUUUCCGCGCCGUAGCUAACGCAUUAAGUGCCCCGCCUGGGGAGUACGGCCGCAAGGCUAAAACUCAAAGGAAUUGACGGGGGCCCGCACAAGCGGCGGAGCAUGCGGAUUAAUUCGAUGCAACGCGAAGAACCUUACCAAGGCUUGACAUGGACCGGACCGCCGCAGAAAUGUGGUUUCCCCUUUUGGGGCUGGUUUACAGGUGGUGCAUGGUUGUCGUCAGCUCGUGUCGUGAGAUGUUGGGUUAAGUCCCGCAACGAGCGCAACCCUCGUUCUAUGUUGCCAGCACGUGAUGGUGGGGACUCAUAGGAGACUGCCGGGGUCAACUCGGAGGAAGGUGGGGAUGACGUCAAAUCAUCAUGCCCAAAAAUGU